GAAAUGCGAUAAGUAAUGUGAAUUGCAGAUUUCAGUGAAUCAUCGAAUCUUUGAACGCACAUUGCGCCCGCCAGUAUUCUGGCGGGCAUGCCUGUUCGAGCGUCAUUUCAACCAUCAAGCCCCGCGCUUGUGUUGGGGACCUGCGGCUGCCGCAGGCCCUGAAAACCAGUGGCGGGCUCGCUGUCACACCGGGCGUAGUAGAUUUUAUCUCGCUCAGGGCGUGCUGCGGGUUCCGGCCGUUAAAAAGCCUUUUUUACCCAAGGUUGACCUCGGAUCAGGUAGGAAGACCCGCUGAACUUAAGC
rnacentral:misc_RNA from 1 species